GGUGGCUCAGUGGUAGAGCACUUGCCUUGCAUGCUCGAGGCCCUGGGUUCGAAUCCUCAGCACCA
rnacentral:tRNA from 1 species